ACACAGGCUCAGGACAAGGGGUUGUAAAUAGGAAGGAACAGACUGACAUGUUACAGAGGAAAGUACAAGUAGUGUAGGAUUGGACUCAUCAGCAGAUGGGGAAUGCUGCCAUUCUUUCUUUAUUUCUGGCAAGGACCUCCGUGGCUGACAGACUCCUGCUACGAUGGAAAGGGAUGGUUCAAUGAGGUUUAGGGAAGAACUAAUAAUAUGUAAUUUACUUCUGUCACACUUGGAAUAUGAGCCCAUAACUGGAGGUCAUUUUGGGAUUAAUUGGAGCUAAUAUCUUUACUUCAAAGCAGCACAAGAUCAAGCCAAACGUACAUGCAUAGCAAUUAAAUAUUUGGCAAGGUAAUACGGAUUGGCUUCUACAGCAGCAGCUCUAUCCCUGUGCUGUUUCACUUGUUCAGGUCUUUGAUGUGCUUCAGAGCACAACUAGCUGGGCCUGUGUUUUAAACAAAGGAGCAUUUUAGCACUGUAUUCUGCAGAGACUGGCUGUUGGGCUAUAGUUAAUAUAUAAACUGUAAAACUGGAAGAUUAUGAAUCGGUAGUAUGACUGGCUACUGAUAAUUCUGUAGGUAAUGAAGAAAUUGCAGGGGGCAAAUGAAAAGAUUUCUCUUUUAUAUUGUAUAGUAUCAAUAUUCCUUUAGUGCUAACAAAG